rnacentral:tRNA from 1 species
UAAAAUCUUAAGUUAAAUAAACUAUUAGCCUUCAAAGUUGAAAAUGAAACUUCAGAUUUU